rnacentral:rRNA from 1 species
UAGCGUAUAUUAAAGUUGUUGCGGUUAAAAAGCUCGUAGUUGGAUUUCUGUUGAGGUUAGGCGGUCCGCACUACGUGCGUGUAUCUGCGUUGACCUCGGCAUCCUCUCGAAAGACGUUUUCUGUGCUUCGUUGCAUGGUGCGGACUUCGGGACUUUUACUUUGAGGAAAUUAGAGUGUUCACGGCAGGCAAUCGCCCUGAAUAUAUUAGCAUGGAAUAAUAAUAUAGGAUCUGAUGCCUAUUUUGUUGGUUUCUAGGCGUGAGAUAAUGAUUAAUAGGGACAAUUGGGGGGAUUCGUAUUAUGGCGUC